UAUUUUUGCAUAAGAUUGAAUUUACUACAGUAAGGGUCAAAUACUCGAUUCAUCUCCUGUCAAUAUACACUCCGUGGUUGUUGUUGUUUAAGAAAUAAGUGUUCGACCUUUACAGCCUAGUCUAAUGCCUGGUUGCAAAGGCGUGCAUGGAAUGGCGUGCCUUCAUAGCGGCCUGUUUCUACAGGAAGAAAGUGAUUGGCAGUACGGAAUUUGAAGAUAUUUUGGGACUCAUCCGGGUGAAUUUUAAUCAGGUCAGAUGCACUAUUCGCGACAAUGACGGUGUCAUCUGCAUACAACAGGACCAGAAGCUUAAGCCACGAUAUUGCAGUAUCUGGGUUGAUAAGUUCAACCCCAACGGAUCCAUUUAUAUGCAGGUUGUACAGUAGAGAUGUCCCAUGAUAGCACAUUGUGACCAUCUGAAAAUAAAGGGUUUGUGGCACAAUGUCUUCCCCCGGGGGCCUAGCGAGCUCUCCCCGGGUUAGGCGUGUUUCUGGAUCCAGGUGUGUCCCAGGGGCGCUGUAUCAUCGGUUGAGGCUGCGAUGAGCUAAUCUGUUGGGCCGUUUCCUGAUGGCGGUGUGGGAUUUCCCUACGAGGUGCGUGUGGGCGAGGAUUCCUCCUCCUGGAAGGCGAUGGCGACUGUUGUUUCCGCGGGGUCCUGUGCUCAAGAACAGGGGAUUGAUUUCGCUGGCUACGAUCCUGCGAUACAGCUUUGUUUGAGUUGACGGACUGGGCACGAGGAACUCGUGAUAUUGCUGGCUGUGUAUUUGGUUUAUUUACAUUGCUAGCUGAGGCAUACUGUGUGUUUGUAAAUAAAAGUUUGUGACUUGUUACACGGCUGCCUUGCAUGAUAGUAUCCCAGUUGGGAAAGGCAUCGGCGACAACGCGUCCAUCUUGGAUUAUUUUGGCAGGGUAUACGAUGCUCACCUUACUGUUCGGGUGUUCUUGCCGUAAGCGCUUGUACUGGGGCCAUAAUAUCUUACGUGCAUCGACAAUCUCGCGUGGGAAGUCUCUGUUUAUGUGGAAAUGUGUGCCACGGAGCUUUCUGGCGUUCGACAGGAUGAAUUCAGUGUCACGAAAGUCUAAGCAGUAAAUAAUGAUGGGUCUUGAGGAGCCGUGCCGGAAUUUUCCUAGCCUGUGACAUCGAGGGAUAGGAGGACAUGGGUCGAUCUCGAGCUUCUCUCUUAGGAAAGUCGAUAUUUUGUGAAAGCAAUUUUCGUCCCUCUCUUCCGGGAUGCCACUUAUAAGGAGGUUAUUAGUUAAGCAGAGUUACAAUAAUAUCAACCUAAAAUAUUGACAGACAAGUAAUUUCGUAUUUGCAGUAUUUUAAUUCACUGAUUAGGAACUGAUAACCAAAGUGAAAAUACUGACAUAUCUGCAUUUUCAAUAUAAAAUAAUGUAUUAAUUAAGCAUAUAAUCAAUCAUCAACAAUCAAAUUAUACAUGUGAUAAUUUUGUUAUUAAGUUGACACUAUUAUACGUACAUGGACUCAAUAAGUACAAGAAUACUUGUUUUAGAUGCAUGUGUUUGACGAUGUAAUUUCGAACAGAAUCUUACAUAAUGAUUUUCGAAUGCUUACAGAUUUCUGUAGCCAUUUGAACUUUAUAUCAAACGUUUCUAAAUAACUAAAGUAUGUCAAGGUUGUAUUCAUAUAAAAAUAACUCACAAUAAAUAUUAUCGUUACAAUUAAAUUAUAUACACUGGGAGAAAAGGCUGUAUUAUAGUUCAUAGAAAAUAAUACAUAGUUGUUUGUUCCAUUUGUCCAUUCACCAGCUCUAACACUAUACCACCAUCCGAACAACAACAGCAGCAGCAACAACAGCAAAAACAACCAGUUUCAAGGCCGGACACACUACUUCAAUCGAGGCAACAGACCCUUUCAAAGGAAACCACAAAUGAAGCGGCUCCAAAGACCAACCAAAAAAUAAUACCUUUUACUGACUCGCAUUCUACAGAAAGUGGAACAAGACAAAACACACGCAAUAAUAAUUGCUCCCAUAUGGCCCACACAAACAUGGUGGCCAAUUUUGACAAACCUCAUACAAGGACCGUGUUACAUACUUCCGGAAACACAAAGAAUUCUUAAACUGGAACACAAACCGGACAAACAACACCCUCUACAAAGGAUGAGAUUGGGUGUUUUCAAUAUAUCCGGAAGGCUUUACAAUUGCAAGGCAUUCCGGAACAAGUAGGUGACAUCAUUAUCGAAUCAUGGAGAAAAAGCACAAGAAAACAGUAUAACACAUAUAUUUAGCCAUGGCUGGAUUACUGUAAAAGGGAGACAAAUCCCUUUUCACCAUCUGUAAAGAAAAUACUGGAUUUUCUAUCAAUCUUACAUAACAAAGGCCUGAGCUAUUCAGCCUUGGGAACGGCAAGAGCAGCAGUCGGCUGCUUUGUCAAAAUAACGGGAAAAGUGGACUUCAGUAACAAUGAACUUAUUUCACGCUUCAUGAAAGGUGUAUUUCAAAUAAAACCGACAUUACCUCGCUACUCCAGCAUCUGGGAUGUUAAACCAGUUUUACAAUAUCUUGAAUUAAUGGAUACCUCCACUCUGUUAUCCUUAUCAUGUAAACUAUGUAUGCUUGUCCUACUUGUUACUGCACAAAGUUGUCAAACGCUACAUGUAAUAAAAUUAACGGAUAUUUUUUUCUCUGCAGAAAAUGUGAUUAUAAAUAUUUCUAGUUUACUUAAACAAACUAAACCUGGUACACAUUUAAAACCUAUUACUUUGCUUCCAUAUAUAACAAAUGAAAAGUUAUGCAUUGUUCAAGUUUUACAUAACAUCUUCGACGGAACAAUAAUCUGUUAAUCUCUACGGUGAAACCACAUGGAGAUGUGUCUCAACAGACUGUGGGAAGGUGGAUAAAAUUGACAAUGAUGAAGGCUGGCAUUACGGAAAAUUUCAAACCGCAAAGCACACGCUCAGCGGCUUCGUCACAUGCUUUCUGUAAAGGUGUACCAUUAAUGCAGAUCAUUGAAACAGCAGGAUGGAGCAAUGCAUUGACUUUUGCAAAAUAUUAUAAUAAACCAAUUACGGAAAAUCAAGGUUGUAAUUUAGUACAACAUGCAUGUAAUAUGUCAUAAUGUGUAUUAAACUUGCAAGAUAAUUCUUUGAAAAUAAAAUAAAAAAUGAA